AGAAUCAACGCUGGCGGCGUGCCUAACACAUGCAAGUCGAACGAGAAAGUGGGAGCAAUCCCACGAGUAAAGUGGCGCACGGGUGAGUAACACGUGACUAACCUACCCUUGAGUGGGGGAUAACCUAGGGAAACCUGGGCUAAUACCGCAUAAUACCUACGGGUCAAAGGAGCAAUUCGCUUAAGGAGGAGGUCGCGGCAGAUUAGUUAGUUGGCGGGGUAAUGGCCCACCAAGACAGUGAUCUGUAUCCGGCCUGAGAGGGCGCACGGACACACUGGAACUGAAACACGGUCCAGACUCCUACGGGAGGCAGCAGUGGGAAUUUUGCGCAAUGGGGGAAACCCUGACGCAGCAACGCCGCGUGGAGGAUGAAGCCCCUUGGGGCGUAAACUCCUUUCGAUCGGGAAGAUAAUGACGGUACCGGAAGAAGAAGCCCGGCUAACUUCGUGCCAGCAGCCGC
rnacentral:rRNA from 1 species